UGUGUGUAACAGCAUCACCGGCAUGAAUCUAAUCCAAUCAGUCAGUCUACACCUGCAAAGCAUAGAAUUAGCUUCCAAUCUAGAUUGUUAUUUCUCAAGCAAUGUUUAAUUACUUAGGGAUGAUGACAAUUGUUGAUCCUGUUUUUCUGUUAGACAAAGUGCACAGUUGCCCCGAGUUACUGCCCUGAUAACAGACAGCGUCAACAACAACGACGGGCACUCCCAGUCAACACCACCGCAUAAGAUUGCCUGCUGCAGUUGCUUGAGAGAUGUCCAGUUUGCAGCCGAACAUGCAGCAUAGAGAAAACCAGCAAGGAGGCCCUCAUCAGCCUCAUGCAGACAUGCCCUCACUAGCAGUAUCUUUGAUAAGGGGCCAGAAGCUGAUCUACGCUGCCAUGCCCAUCAACAUGGCUCUGGCAAAGACCUCACCUCCAGUCUCACCUCUUGCCUGCUCAGCAACAGUUGACGAUGGGGGAGAUCAGAAUUAGAAAUGUAUGGAGCCAGCACAUGAAAACUUGCAAGAUGAUGUGAUGAAGUCCAGACUAAAAGACGGGCGUGAUGCUAAUGUCUCUGAAUGGACAUUUGUACUUGUAUUGUAUUUUUUUGUGAACUGAAUGAUGUCAGUCAAUAUGGGGAAGGAAAAACUCUGUGCAUUCUCCUCCAGGAUCAGGGAAUUCAUGUUGCAUAUGGGAUACCACACAGGAAAGCAUGACCACGUUUGCCAAGGUAGAGCUAUUACCACCAGACAAAAUGCAGAUAGGCACAAUAUAUGUAUUGGCUGGGAAUGACAAUGAAAGAUGAAAUGUACAGACUGUUAUUAGCAGGACACUGCUUCUACGGUACUAUGUCAAGUUUUUUAUUUUACAUGGACCUGUUACUGCAUUUGAAAGUUAAAAUAUCUUGUCACUUGGUAUUUAUGACUCGUGUUACAUACGAAAGGGUCCGUAAGUAAAGCAUUUCACUGUUAUUCUAAACCUGUUGAAGAUGCAUGUGAUAAAUACAAUUCCAACAUUUAUUUUUUGAUUUGAUCUACAUACAUUCAGCAUUGUUUGUAUUGUUAGUAUUGUUCUCAUGUUACUCUGCAGGUUACUGACCUAUCCAACGCUUCCUCCGGCAUCUCACCAUAUAUUUGCCAAUAAUUGAUUCAACCCGCAGGAGGUUUGUUUGUUGAGACUGAGUGGGGUGAAACAGCUGCAGACAAGGUUCUGACAGAUGGGUGUGUCUUGAUGGUUGCAAGGACACACCCAAGAAACACCCACAUCAAACCAUACCUCCAAGCCAACUCACGUUUGGCUUCUGUCAUGGCCACCAGUAUUUCUUAAGAGCAAACCAAAAAACGAGGCCAAAUCAGAGGGUGCAGUACCCCAUUACACACAAUUGACAAAGAGACGGAACUGACAAAAUGCAUUUCAGGUCAAACAUCUAGGACAUUCAACUAACUCUUCUGAAACAACCAAAGCCCCAGGGAGAAGGCUUUAGAAGUAACUUUUUCUAUUCUGUUUUGUAUCCUAGGAGAAACCAAGCUGACGUUGACUAAUGAAUGUAGAGCAGGAGUGUCAAACUAAUUUCCUCUGCGGGCCUCAUUUGGUCUUCACUGAAGUCUGGAGGGGCGUAUUUAAAUGUGAUUAUAUUUCCUUGCCGUAAAAAUAGACCUCUAUCCAUUGCUUUUGGAAUUUUUGAUGCACCCUGACUGUCUAGCUUUCGUUUUGAUGACUGUUAGCAAGCUGGACAGAGUGAAGAGACUGUAAAUGUAGGUCCAUUAUCAUUUCUACACAAUUUCGAUUUGGUUUUAGACAUUUCAAUGUUGAUUGAGAUUUGUUCCCCCCCCCACACACAAA